rnacentral:rRNA from 1 species
GACAGAGGGUGCAAGCGUUGCUCGGAAUCACUGGGCGUAAAGGGCGCGUAGGCGGGAUGGCAAGUCGGUCGUGAAAUCUCUCGGCUCAACCGAGAAACGUCGGCCGAUACUGCCGUUCUUGAGGGAUGCAGAGGAGACUGGAAUUCCCGGUGUAGCGGUGAAAUGUGUAGAGAUCGGGAGGAACACCGGUGGCGAAGGCGGGUCUCUGGGCAUUUCCUGACGCUGAGGCGCGAAAGCGUGGGGAGCAAACAGG